rnacentral:tRNA from 1 species
GCUGGGAUGGCGGAAUUGGUAUACGCGCUAGGUUGAGGGCCUAGUGGGAGCAUAUCCCGUGCGGGUUCAAGUCCCGCUCCCAGCA